rnacentral:lncRNA from 1 species
UCCAGAGAGGGUACAAGCCCAAAAAAAGGCACGAAUAUUUUCUUCCCUUUCUUCAAUCUAUUGCUCAUAUGGUUACAGUAAAUUGUUCUUACAUUUCUUGUUUCAAGAAAAAGUUUAAUGAGCAUGAUGACGUAAUCAAACCAGCUUUUGUUAUUGGCUCAUAUCCAGUCAGUAACAAAACAUGGUUCCACCAACUCGUAGACCCUGAGACGUCUUUGAAUAGCGGGGUAUGGUAACAUUCAUGUAUUUGUUCAUCGUACAAUUACUUGUUAACAAAUGAGACCACGUUACGACUCUGCUACCACAUCAUGCACGAACUAGUAUGCGGUUCACUGACACAGUGGUCUCAUAAGUAUAUGUUUUGUUCAACAAGUCACAUACCAACCUGGUCACAAGUCACAGAAUCACAACUUUAUGAAAUUUUCUGAUGUUGCUCUUAUUUCUUAUCUUCUUGAUCACACAGCACAUGGAUGCAUGCUUCUACUACAUUCGGCAGCUAGCAAAAUUUGGGAAAGUACAGUACAGAGCUACAACAACAAACUCCUCUUUCCAGAACAUGAUAAAAGACAUAUACCCCGCUUUCAAAAAAGAUCCUAAUGUUCUGUUGUCAGGAAGCC